AUGGCAGAGCAGCAUGGAGGAAGGGCAGAAAUCACUGGUGACCAGAAGCCAUUAUACCAGCCCCACGCUGCCUACCUUGAGACCCCUUUCCUUAAGAGGGAAAUAAAUGGCUGCGGGGUUUCAUUGCCUCUUCACAUACUGUCACGACACACACGCUCCUGCAGGUGCAUACGCUCUCAUGUUACUCCCGCCAGUGCACACACUCGUGGUCACACACACUCACCCACGCAGCCCCGACUAAAGCUGCAGAUAAAAGCAGAGCUCAGGGGUCACCCUGUCUGGGUUAAAGUGGUAGUUAAGCCCACGCCCCCCAGCUCCAUGACCUGCGUGAAUGCCAUGCCCCAGAAGCUCCGUGACCCAGACGAACCCCUUCACCUCCCCCCCCACACCCCAGAUGGGUUUCCUUGUCUGCUACGUGGCCGGGUAGGGGAGCUCCUGGGAGGACCAGCCUCAGCGAAGACCGACAAGCGCUACACAGGGAAGCACACCAGGCCUGAGCCGGAGGUUGGGAGGGGCCGGCUGAGGGCCAAGACCCCGCUGGAGCCCCAGGCCACGUCCCGUCUGAUGUACCAGGGAUGGUCACGGUCAGGAUGUUCUGGGCCAGUCCCAGGAAGGAACUGCCGGAAGUCGGAAGGUGGUACCGCAGGACUGCUCCCUCUCGCAGCAGCGGCCCGGAGCGUGUCCAGCUGGAUCCCCGCCUCCAUGUCUCGUGACUGCCAUGACACGUGACCACACACUCCGUGGCUCAGCACAGCUCGGACAUAUCGCCUUAUGGCUCUAAAGCUCAGAAGUCUGCAGUGAAGGGCUAUUCUCCUUCCGGAGCUUGUGAUGGUGCGUUUUCUGUGUCAGCCUAACUGGUUGAGGGAGGCCCAGGUGAUUUCUAGGUGUGUCUGGGUGUGUUUCCAGAAGACAUUAGCGUUUGAGUACAAAGAUGGCCCCUGCCAAGGUAGGGGGGCCUCAUCCCAUCCACUGAGGGCCCAAACGGAACAAAGAGGCGGAAAGGGCAAGUUCACUCUUCUGGAGCUGGACCUCCAUUGUCUCCCGCCCUUGGACGCUCAAGCUCCUGGUUCUGAGGCCUUCAGACUCCAGUGAAUCCUGCCACCGGCCUUCCUGGGGCUCCAGCCUGUGGACGUCAGGCGCGGGACCUCUUGGCCUCCACAGUGACGUGAGUCAAGCCCUGUGAUCGCUCUCACAGAUACUGCUGGACAUCUGACCGGCUCCAUGUCUCUGCAACUCUGUCCCCUCACCACCGUCUGCCUCCAGUCUUCCUCUACCUCCCUCUUAUCAAGGCCUUUGUGGUGACAUGGGGCCACCACCCAAUCGAGGACAAUCUCUCUUCCCAAGACCCUCAACCCCAUGGUAUUACCCCUUUGCCACAUGAGGCCACACAGCCCAAGGUUCUGGGGAUUAGGACUGAUGUUAGGCAGUCAUUACUGAGAAUCGCCCAGCCCCCAACAUCAGAGUCCCCGGCCAUUGCCUGCCUGGCCGUGUGCCAGGCCUUGGACCCGAGGAGGAUAAAGCUCAGGCCCAGGGCCCAGCAGAAGGGCUCAUUGGUCACAGGAGCCACAGCCCAGAAGUCCGGCGUGGCUCUCAGCCCCCGCAUGGCCUCUAGCAAUGCUCCUGCCGUCCAGACACGGUCAGACACCCUUGCCUUUGCCGCUGCUAGAUUCAGGCUCCUAGAGAGCUGGGGUUUUUAAGAUUGAAUCUAUGACGGGCCAGUGGGGGACAGGGAAAAAGACAACCCAUCCGGUGGAUAGACAGGCUCCCCGAGACUGCCCCCAUGGGGAUGGCCUCCCUGUGCCCAGAGGCUGCGGUCACCUCAGCCUGAGGUGGCAGGGCUGCCUGGGCUGAAGAGCCUCGAGGCAGACAGUCCCCCAAGUGACACACAGCCUUCCCUCUACCCGAUGCGCCAGCGCCCACGCACCACUGUGCCUGGCGCCCGUGCCCUGCUGCCUGGCGCCUGUGCCCCCGCUGCCUGGUGCAGAGCCGGGUGUGCUGUCUGACUCCACCUCAUGGGACAAAUGCUAACCACACCUCCCUCUGCCGAGCUCUGACCAGCGGGGGCACAGGCACACAGACACGUGGGGAUCUAACGCCCCCCAAGGAAGAUGCAACUGAGGAUACGGGGCCCCAGGGUGGGGUUGGGUGCCUGGUACGAGCAGAUCCCAGGGGCUGCAGGAGAGACAGUGGCAGAGCCAGAGGGUGGCAGGCCUCCCCAGAAGCCACUCCCCCUGGGAAGGUUACACCUGCACUCACCCUCCCCUGGAAGCAGGUGUCUGGGGAUGGGGCUCCUUUCUGGUACAUGCCAGCUGGUUGUCUCUUAACCCGCUGAACUCAAUGUGCCUGUCUAAGCACACUGGAGGGACAGGCCAAAGCCCCGCCCUCCCGAGCCCCCCAGGGUCCAGUGACUCUGCCCGGCAGACUAGGUCUGUGCUGGAGGAUGUUCUGCUGGCCCCACCACGCUCUGUGUGGGCUCCAUCUACUCGGCAAGCUUGGUCUCCCUGGACACUGUAAAGGCAAACUCCAGCCCAGCCUGGAGCCUGGGAACCUGGGGCUCGGAGCCAUUGCUUCAGGCCCUGGCUAUUCCUGGGGCCAGCUUCCAGGUCUGAGGAUUCACCACAGGGCUGAUGCCCGGGUCCUCACUCCUUCAGAACACGUGGAGCCAGCUGUUCCCUGGAGCUUGGCCCGACGCCCUUGCCCUGAGUUGCAGCUGCCCUCCACCAACCAGACCAUAGGCUCCGGCUUGCCCGGAUGGGGGGCAGUCCCCGGGGGACCGCGCCCCCCCAGCUGGCCCGGAUUCAGACCACACCUCUCCCUAGUGUGCAGGACAUCACUACUGUGUCACAGGAGUAUCUGCUGACACCCUGCCCCUGCCAGAGCCCAGAGAAAGAGACUCCAGGGUUAAGGGGGACACUAGCCAGCUCUGGUUGCUGUGACCAAGCAGCACGGCCUGGGGGCUGAAAUGACAGAAACGUGCCGUCUCACAGCUCUGGAGGCUGGAAGGCUAAGGUCGAGGUGUCAGCAGUAUUGGUUCCUCCUGAGGGCUCUCUCCUUGGUGCGUAGAUGGCGUCCUGUCCCCGUGUCCCCACGUGGUCGUCCCCUGGUGCGUGUCUGCGCCCUGCUCUCCUCUUCUUGUAAGGGCACCAGUCAGCGUGGACCUCCUCUAUCCCAGUCCCCUCCUCCAAGACCCAUCUCCAAGCACGGUCACCCUCUGAAGUCCUGAGACCAGGACUAGGUGUGUGGAUUUUGGGGACACCGUCCAGCCCAUAACGAGGGGCUGAGACAGAGCUCCGUGAGGGCAGAGAAUGGCGUCAGCCCGGGGCUGAGUUUAGGGAGGUGUUUGCCAGGAUGGGGGAGAUGGGGCUUGGUGGCGACAGCCUGGCCCGGGGGGGCAGCUGCACAUAGAUGGGGGUGCUGGAGCACGCGCCCAAGAAGCCAAGAGUCCAUCUCACAAGCGCCAGGCCGCUGCCUGCGUCUCUUACGAGCGCAUCAGGUUGCAGCUCCUGCUGGCUUCCUCACACUCUGUCCGUCUGUCCGUCUGGGCGCUCAAUGACCCGUCAGGGCUGCUUGUCAUGCCUGUGUCCCCAUGCGGUUUGCAGCAGCAGCAGCUAGCCAGCCCAGGAGCCCUGACCUCUAUAAAUGGAGACGGGCCUCUCUCUGCCCACUGCAAACCCUGAGCAAACCCUCUCCCCCGAUUCCCCCGGGUGUCCCCUGCCCGCAGAGUGGGCGGUUUCCGUGGCGAUUUGGCUUGAGCUAGCCGAGCCUCGGGAGCAUGUGCGCCAGGCGUGGGCGGAUCCCACCUGCACGCCCCACGAGGGCCCUCCCCACGAGAAGGUCUGGGGGCCAGACGGGGGUCUUUCCCACCGCAGCCUGCCGGUAGGUGCGCAGCCCAGGCCCACCCACCUGAGAAAAUCAAUCAAAGGAAACCUCACUAAACCCGAAUCGGAGCCUGGGCAGUGGGAGCUCUCAGCCCUCCUGCUCUCGCCAGCGACAAAUCCACAGGGGAGGGGCGAAAGCUGAACGGAGAAGGCGAAAAGGGAGAACCAAACUGAGGGUUUCAGAAGGGAGGGGGCUGCGCAUGGGAGAGCGGCUGAGGGGCACUGAGCAGGGCAGCGUGGUGAGGACAGCGGGUGUUACCCACAACUACGGAAUCGUUGAACACUGCGUCAAACACUAAUGUUCCAUAUGCCGGCUAAUUGUAAUAUAUAAAUAAAAUAAAAUUUAAAAAAAUUUAAAAAAAUAAAAAACACAACAAAUCCACCCAGAAGAGAUGGGCCGGGCCCUGAGCAGCCGCUACGCUUCCAGCUUCCCGUUUAGCCCCCCCCCGCCCGAAGGAACUUUGCUCUCCUCGGUCCUGCCAGUGUUUUGCUUGCCCCAGCUUGCAACUCUCGGCCAUUCCUCAAUAAAUCCAUUUCUGCUGGUAAAAUAACUGGAAGGUUUAUUUUCAAGGUCAAUACGUGCAGAGGACUCGUGCACUGGAAUCAAG
rnacentral:lncRNA from 1 species